rnacentral:rRNA from 1 species
AAAGGGAGAUUAAUACCGCAUAAAGCCAAGUUUCACAUGGAAUUUGGAUGAAAGGAGUAAUUCGCCUUGAGAUGGACCCGCGGCGCAUUAGUUAGUUGGUGGGGUAAUGGCCUACCAAGACAGCGAUGCGUAGCCGACCUGAGAGGGUGAUCGGCCACAUUGGAACUGAGAUACGGUCCAGACUCCUACGGGAGGCAGCAGUGGGGAAUAUUGCACAAUGGGCGAAAGCCUGAUGCAGCAACGCCGCGUGAGUGAUGAAGGUCUUCGGAUUGUAAGGCUCUGUCUUUUGGGACGAUAAUGACGGUACCAAAGGAGGAAGCCACGGCUAACUACGUGCCAGCAGCCGCGGUAAUACGUAGGUGGCGAGCGUUGUCCGGAUUUACUGGGCGUAAAGGGUGCGUAGGCGGAUGUUUAAGUGAGAUGUGAAAUACCCGGGCUUAACUUGGGUGCUGCAUUUCAAACUGGAUAUCUAGAGUGCAGGAGAGGAGAAUGGAAUUCCUAGUGUAGCGGUGAAAUGCGUAGAGAUUAGGAAGAACACCAGCGGCGAAGGCGAUUCUCUGGACUGUAACUGACGCUGAGGCACGAAAGCGUGGGUAGCAAACAGGAUUAGAUAUCCUGGUAGUCCACGCCGUAAACGAUGAGUACUAGGUGUAGGAGGUAUCGACCCCUUCUGUGCCGCAGUAAACACAUUAAGUACUCUGCCUGGGAAGUACGAUCGCAAGAUUAAAACUCAAAGGAAUUGACGGGGGCCCGCACAAGCAGCGGAGCAUGUGGUUUAAUUCGAAGCAACGCGAAGAACCUUACCUGGACUUGACAUCCCCUG